rnacentral:lncRNA from 1 species
CUCUUGGGGAAACAGUAUGACCCCAUAAAGGGUUCCAGACCAGAUUCUGUAGUUUUUUCUCUGUAUAUGGGAAUUCUGUCCAGGGUCAGGGCGAUUAAUGACAGAUAUAAUUAAUCUGAUGUUAUUCAAAUCAGUUGAUGAAAACUGAAAGUAAUGACUGUAUGAGUAACUGUGGAAGGAAAGAUGUGCACUGUGGUGUCUGUUGCAAAGACUGAUUUUCUGGAAACAGUGAAUAAUACGGCUUUUUCAAGGGAGGAUUUGAUGAACAUCCAGGCUGAAGAAACUGAUUUCAUACACUAAUCUGUGCUUAGAAUCAACAGACUGCAGCUAUUUACUCCUAUAGCUCUCCAUUUUGGAUUCUGGAUUGGAAGGACCCAAUUUAUCACCUCUUGUACCAUUUGCAGAACUGUGGUUGCUGCAAAAGAAUCCAGGUGAGAUGACACCAAAGGUUCCUUGCUGCCAGCUCACAAUUCUAAAUGCAACUAAAGGAGCAUUUGUAUUUAAUAGAUCUAACCUUGCUUCAACAGCCCACCUAGCUGGGAGUGCUGGAGUUUUAUCCGGGAAGACAAAAUACCAAGAGAAAGAAGAUGCUAAAGGACACGUGUUCUACUCUGCAGUAUCAUCCCCGGAAGAGCACAGGAACUGAAGAAACAGGGAAUGAGAGUCCUGGAAGGAACUCCUGAAUAAGCCUGCUCUCAUGUUUUCAUUCCUGAAAUACAGAAGGCUUUGAGACAUGUCUUCUUCCUUCGCUCCUCAAAGGGCUGCGGUAGAGAACAUGAAUUAUGGUGUAACCUGUGGCUGGGAACAGCAUGUCAGAAGUGGACACCUCCCUGGGGACAGGAGAGAAAUCACAGCCGAACUUCUUCCUGCCUGCUGCAGCCAGAGGGACUGUGUGUGGUAAGGUCGUUGUUUGGUUGUGGUUCAGCUAGGAGGGCCUGUUAACAGCAAUCCAGAAUUCAGGAAAUGCAAAGCAAGAAUUUCCUUCUCCUUAUUGUUCUUUUUUUUUUUUCUUUUUUUUUAAGAUGGAAGUGAGUGAUUGAGUGUCUUGUUUAUCUUAUUGGUAACUUGUUUCCCAGGUGUGUUAUGGUGGAUGCUUUACAAUAGGCAGAACUGAGUUUUUGCUUCUUGCAGUCAAGAGGAACAAGGAUUUUGUUCUUCCGUUGAUACCUGCUGGAAUUCAC